rnacentral:rRNA from 1 species
GACGAACGCUGGCGGCGUGCUUAACACAUGCAAGUCGAACGGAAAGGCCCUGCUUUUGUGGGGUGCUCGAGUGGCGAACGGGUGAGUAACACGUGAGUAACCUGCCCUUGACUUUGGGAUAACUUCAGGAAACUGGGGCUAAUACCGGAUAGGAGCUCUUGCUGCAUGGUGGGGGUUGGAAAGUUUCGGCGGUUGGGGAUGGACUCGCGGCUUAUCAGCUUGUUGGUGGGGUAGUGGCUUACCAAGGCUUUGACGGGUAGCCGGCCUGAGAGGGUGACCGGCCACAUUGGGACUGAGAUACGGCCCAGACUCCUACGGGAGGCAGCAGUGGGGAAUAUUACACAAUGGGCGGAAGCCUGAGGCAGCAACGCCGCGUGCGGGAUGACGGCCUUCGGGUUGUAAACCGCUUUCGCCUGUGACGAAGCGUGAGUGACGGUAAUGGGUAAAGAAGCACCGGCUAACUACGUG